rnacentral:rRNA from 1 species
AUUGAACGCUGGCGGCAUGCCUAACACAUGCAAGUCGAACGAGUGGCGGACGGGUGAGUAAUGUCUGGGAAACUGCCCGAUGGAGGGGGAUAACUACUGGAAACGGUAGCUAAUACCGCAUACCAUCGGAUGUGCCCAGAUGGGAUUAGCUAGUGGGUGGGGUAACGGCUCACCAAGGCCACGAUCCAUAGCUGGUCUGAGAGGAUGACCAGCCACACUGGAACUGAGACACGGCCCAGACGCCUACGGGAGGCAGCAGUGGGGAAUAUUGGACAAUGGGGGAAAGCCGGAUGCAGCCAUGCCGCGUGUAUGAAGAAGGCCUUCGGGUUGUAAAGUACUUUCGGCAGGGAGGCGGUACUUGCAGAAGAAGCACCGGCUAACUCCGUGCCAGCAGCCGCGGUAAUUC